CCUACGGGAGGCAGCAGUGGGGAAUAUUGGACAAUGGGGGGAACCCUGAUCCAGCCAUGCCGCGUGUGUGAAGAAGGCCCUCGGGUUGUAAAGCACUUUCAGUGAGGAAGAACGCCUGGUGGUUAAUACCCAUCAGGAAAGACAUCACUCACAGAAGAAGCACCGGCUAACUCCGUGCCAGCAGCCGCGGUAAUACGGAGGGUGCGAGCGUUAAUCGGAAUUACUGGGCGUAAAGCGCGCGUAGGUGGCUUGAUAAGCCGGUUGUGAAAGCCCCGGGCUCAACCUGGGAACGGCAUCCGGAACUGUCAAGCUAGAGUGCAGGAGAGGAAGGUAGAAUUCCCGGUGUAGCGGUGAAAUGCGUAGAGAUCGGGAGGAAUACCAGUGGCGAAGGCGGCCUUCUGGACUGACACUGACACUGAGGAGCGAAAGCGUGGGUAGCAAACAGGAUUAGAUACCCUGGUAGUC
rnacentral:rRNA from 1 species